UUGAACGCUGGCGGAAUGCUUUACCCCUGCAAGUCGAACGGCAGCACGGGGGCAGCCCUGGUGGCGAGUGGCGAACGGGUGAGUAAUACAUCGGAACGUGCCCGGUCGUGGGGGAUAACGUAGCGAAAGUUACGCUAAUACCGCAUACGAUCUGAGGAUGAAAGCGGGGGACCUUCGGGCCUCGCGCGAUCGGAGCGGCCGAUGUCAGAUUAGGUAGUUGGUGGGGUAAAGGCCUACCAAGCCGACGAUCUGUAGCUGGUCUGAGAGGACGACCAGCCACACUGGGACUGAGACACGGCCCAGACUCCUACGGGAGGCAGCAGUGGGGAAUUUUGGACAAUGGGCGCAAGCCUGAUCCAGCCAUUCCGCGUGCAGGACGAAGGCCUUCGGGUUGUAAACUGCUUUUGUACGGAACGAAAAGGCUCUGGCUAAUACCUGGGGCUCAUGACGGUACCGUAAGAAUAAGCACCGGCUAACUACGUG
rnacentral:rRNA from 1 species